UUAUAAAUACACUCUCCUGUCUGCAUUGA
rnacentral:piRNA from 1 species